rnacentral:rRNA from 1 species
UGGGGAAUAUUGCACAAUGGGCGCAAGCCUGAUGCAGCAACGCCGCGUGAACGAUGAAGGUCUUCGGAUCGUAAAGUUCUGUUGCAGGGGAAGAUAAUGACGGUACCCUGUGAGGAAGCCCCGGCUAACUACGUGCCAGCAGCCGCGGUAAUACGUAGGGGGCUAGCGUUAUCCGGAUUUACUGGGCGUAAAGGGUGCGUAGGUGGUCUUUCAAGUCGGUGGUUAAAGGCUACGGCUCAACCGUAGUUAGCCUCCGAAACUGGAAGACUUGAGUGCAGGAGAGGAAAGUGGAAUUCCCAGUGUAGCGGUGAAAUGCGUAGAUAUUGGGAGGAACACCAGUAGCGAAGGCGGCUUUCUGGACUGCAACUGACACUGAGGCACGAAAGCGUGGGUAGCAAACAG